GAGGGGUUACGGAAGAAUAGAGGGGAAGCAAGAAGGAAAAAAAAAAAUUCUUCAUUUUCUCUUCUUCAUGAAAAAAUAAAAGUAGAUUGCAAGGUAGACUUGCAGGAAGAAGGUGAAACUUUCUCUUCUUUAAUCUCCACUUUCUCUUUGACGGUUUUCAUUCUUCUUUUUCUUAAACAAAAUGUUUGAGAGAUGGUGAGGCUAGGAAUAGAAGAGGGAUCAGCAAAAGGGGUUUUUUAUAUCAAGUCAUGGAGAUGAUUAUAAGAAAAUUUAAGGAGACUUUUACUCAAUAGGAUUAUGAAUGAAUUUUUUUUUUACUUAACUUGCGUAUCAGAGAGUCAGAGCGAAAAUUCUCUGGUCCGUCACACCAACGCUUGGUGGGUUCAACCGAGGUAUGCUCUAACAGAAUUUAUUCUUGUUUUUGAGUAGGAUUAUUCGAGUUUGGAAUAGCAAUUAUUGUGAUUACACAUAGCUAUGACCAGACGAUUUUCAUCAUCAAUGUUUUACGAUUUAUUUAUUUAAAUUCUAAGUUAUUUGGAAGAUGAUUUUUCCAGUAUUUAAUCUUUAUGGUUUUAUA